AUACGGAGGAUGCAAGCGUUAUCCGGAUCUAUUGGGUUUAAAGGGUGCGUAGGCGGAUGAUUAAGCGUGAGGUGAAAUGCCACUGCUCAACAGUGGAACUGCCUCGCGAACUGGUUGUCUUGAAUGCUCCUGCCGUGGGAGGAAUGUGUGGUGUAGCGGUGAAAUGCAUAGAGAUCACACAGAACACCGAUUGCGAAGGCAUCUCACGAAGGGGUGAUUGACGCUGAGGCACGAAAGCGUGGGGAUCAAACAGGAUUAGAUACCCUGGUAGUCCACGCAGUAAACGAUGAUAACUAACCGCUGGGUCGUAGUGAUUCAGUGGCCAAGCGAAAGCGAUAAGUUAUCCACCUGGGGAGUACGACCGCAAGGUUGAAACUCAAAGGAAUUGACGGGG
rnacentral:rRNA from 1 species